rnacentral:rRNA from 1 species
CCUACGGGAGGCAGCAGUGGGGAAUAUUGGACAAUGGGGGGAACCCUGAUCCAGCCAUGCCGCGUGUGUGAAGAAGGCCCUCGGGUUGUAAAGCACUUUCAGUGAGGAAGAACGCCUGGUGGUUAAUACCCAUCACGCAAGCCAUCACUCACAGAAGAAGCACCGGCUAACUCCGUGCCAGCAGCCGCGGUAAUACGGAGGGUGCGAGCGUUAAUCGGAAUUACUGGGCGUAAAGCGCGCGUAGGUGGCUUGAUAAGCCGGUUGUGAAAGCCCCGGGCUCAACCUGGGAACGGCAUCCGGAACUGUGAAGCUAGAGUGCAGGAGAGGAAGGUAGAAUUCCCGGUGUAGCGGUGAAAUGCGUAGAGAUCGGGAGGAAUACCAGUGGCGAAGGCGGCCUUCUGGACUGAGACUGACACUGAGGUGCGAAAGCGUGGGUAGCAAACAGGAUUAGAUACCCGGGUAGUC